rnacentral:tRNA from 1 species
AAAAAAUUAGUUAAUAUAAUAUAACAUUAAAAUGUCAUUUUAAAGUAAUUAAAUAUAAUAUUUUUUU